GCGACUAAAGGUGUAUUCCAAAGUCGCUUAUUAAGAAUUGUACAGCGGAAUUCAUUCCGCUCAACCCUAAGGGUGUAGACUUAUUUUAUUUAGCACUUCAAAGAAAAAAUGAAGGCCGUCUAGCCUUCCUCGACCGCGGCACGCCCCCUUUUCCUCAGACUUAUUUUUGCUCUGUUACAAGUAACACGCGUAUAUAGAAUGUCUAUAGAUAUCGCCCAUCGUUUUGUGAAUUUUUCGAUGGCCAGUUUUUCGAGCCACGUUGGUUUUUCGAACAACCUAGGCUCGAGUGCGAUAGAACACACGAUCGUGAAUUGCGUAGCCGUCCUCCAUCAUCACCAAUCAUCUUGAUUCUCAAGUAAGACCCCGCUCACCCGUCGCUCUUUCGUUCGAUUCUCGUUACGUUCCCCGCUGCUGGACAAGUACAAUCUUGACGUUUCUGCUUUUUGGGACCUGAGGGGUUCGGCUUUGUUCCCCUUUCGACGACCGUUUCGUGGGAGUCAAUCAGGUCAGCAGUAGCCGGCGCGACGACAAGAGAGGGUAUGCAGAAACGGUUUCUAUUGGUAUAGCUAGCGACGACGGUUGCUGCUAUGAUGAUGAUGGUUACAGCUAUCGUUUCGACCAAGAUGGUUUCAUGGCGAUACAGAGACUGGCUUAUCGUUAUGGCGAUGGGAGAGACGUUCGUUUUAGUCGCGUAGAACUAGAAUUGCGAGACCAACGCGUUAGAUAAUCGUUCCCCCUACCGCAACGAGUACCGGAACAAUUUCCUCUCUUGCAGAAAAGACUUUGUUUGCUAUCGUACCGAUCAGCGAUCAAGUGGCUCACGAGGAGCAAGACCACUCGAGAGGAAGUAGUAGUAGGCUGUUGCCUACCAGAAGAUCGAGUAGUUGAAGAAAAGGAGCAGUAAGGGCGGAAGCCACAUCUUGUGCAACAGCAGCCACAGCUAGUGAUUCGGCAGCAGUACGGGAGGUAGUGGAUCUAGUUCCGGCCCCUAUGGAAGACCGAGUAGUCACAGCACCAUUUGAGGAGGUGAUGCUCCCCAGUAUCUCAGGUUCGCGACCGCCUUCAGCUCCUAAAAACAUCUCCGAUGGGAUUUAAAUUUUUUAGGUCGACCGUGCUGAUCCACCGACAUGUCGAAAGCAAUCUCGAAAGAGUUUUCUCUCGAUGAUGCGACACCGACUUUUCUCUGAUAUUCUCCAAGCUUGAGUUGGGGGAUUGGAUUACUUUUUUUUGAGAUGGUGGGUUGGAUAACUGGAUUACCCGCCGGGUUCUCCUAAAAUCGUGCAAGACCUCGCUAAAAUCUAUCAAUGCGGAACAUGAGUCGUUGCUUAUAGCUGUAAUUAAAGCUAUGUAUAGGCCUAUCGCGCAGACACUUGCGGACUUUACACUCAUCUGCGUUCCCUGCCGGACAAGUAAGUGGUUAAGAGCCAGUGCAGGUCGUUCCCCAGCAAUAGGGACGCGCUUAUGUUUUCAUAACCAGAGAGCGUCGGAAUGCGGUGGUCGCGUUCGCCGAGCCGUCGGCUAACUAAUUGUUGCGUUUCAAGCCACCUAAUAUUUCGUCUCAAUCGCGACAGCGUUUCAAGCCAGAACCGAUAGUUAGCUUGAACCUUCGCUCCAUCGCUUGGCUACAAGAAAGUCGGAGGUAGGACGGUACGUUUCAUUCAACCGACCUCUUGAUUUCUUGAAAGACGAUUAAAGAUCCGCUCCUUAACUUUUAAUCACAGUGGGAGUGCCUUGGCGCCUCUGUUGUUAUUAAAGAUGGCCUAGUAUCUGGCUUAACAAGGCUUCAAGAUUUUUCAUUUUUACAACAAAUCAGAGCCUGUUUGGCGACGACGCUCGUUUUAAUCACCACCACGUUGUAUUACGGACCAGAACCGGUCGUUUGAGGUGGAGAAGGCAGGCGGAGUAGAAUAGCGGGCCAUCGCAGUGGUUAUCGCUCCAUCGCUUGCCUCUAAAAAAGCCGGAAGUACGUUACACGAAUCCGAACCCUUGGCUUCUUGAAAAAAACGAUCCCUGAACGUUAAAUCUUGAUCGCAGCGGAAGUGCCUCGGGGGCUUCUGUUGCCAUUAAAUAUCGCCUAGUAACUGUCGCAUCAAAGCUCCCGGAUUUUUUCAUUUCAAUUUUUAAACUAUAACUAAUCAGAGCCUUUUUUGCGAUGACGUUUCAAUCACCACCACGUUGCUCGAGGGGAGAAGGCAGGCGGAGUAGAAUAGCGGGCCAUCGCCGUGGUCAUCGCUCCAUCGCCUGUUUCCUAGAAAGGCGGAAGUACGUUACACACAUCCGAACCCUCGACGUCUGGAAAGACAAUCAAGUCGUGCACCUUAAAUUAAUCUCAGCGGAAGUGCCUCGGGCUUCUGUCGUCAUUAGAAAAUUGCCUAAUAUCUGUCGCACCAAAGCUCCCAGAUUUUUCGUUCCAAAAAAUCUGAGCCAUUUUCAGAUGUGCGGUGACAAGUAUCCGACUUGUCCGAUAGGCAGAAGACAUUUUGAUCUUAAACGGGUCUAAAAAAGCGAGCUGUGAGCGGCCAUUAAUACAGCUAUUGUUUACCCCUGCGCACUAGGCCGUCGGCCGAGGUGCCGUAAAAGAACUCGCGGAACGAAUUCGAACUCUUGAAGACGGCCAUCAAGUUGUGGACGUGGACGUAGACGUGGUCGUAGGACGAAACGGGCUUACGUGCAACAGCUGUCGAUCCAGUUGAAGCCGCUGUGACUUUGCGCGUCAAAUCGAAGUAGGUUCCAAUCACGUUCACUUGUAAAAUGUCGCUGUGCCCGCUGUGGGUGGCGCUUUUUUGGUUCGAUCCGCUCUUUAAAUGUCUCUUUCUUGGGUCAAUGUGACGACGAAACCGUGGCUCACCAGUUGGAUGACGACGGGUGCAGCAGCCGGUUGCAUUAUUCUUCCGGGCAGAUGGGCUCAACGCCUUUGCGGAUGACUUCUCGUUUGUCAAGGUAGCCCGGCGCAGAAAGGACGGCCAUAAAGAAGCCCACCGUGUUGGGGCUGCUGGUGGUGGCAUUUUGGCACGACGCGAGGUCGAUCGGGUAGCCAAAAGACGUCACUUCCUUUAACACCAGCCGAAAUCGACUCACAGUGGCCGGACGUGGCUGGGCAACAUCACGAAUGGUGUCGGAUGCCGGAUGAAAUGCUACUUUUUGAGUUGCGGGCCCCCGGGGAAAGCGCUGUGGCGCAAGUACCGACGGGAUGAUUGAGAAACAGGCGCGCGGCUGAGUCUCACCACGCUGCUGCUGAUUUCAGCUUUCAACCGACUAUCAACAGUCUCAGCAUCGGUUGCGUUGGAUCCUGUUCUUUUCUGAACUCGGUGGAGAUCAGCUAGACGGCUACGCAAAAAAGACGGCGGAUCGAUGUCCGCCGCUCUCACAACCGUUUGGUCAAGGCGAAACGGAUUGAAGUUGAAGUGAGAAGCUGAAGCUAGCGAUUCGGAUUAGACACUGCCAUGAUCUCUCGUUUUCUAGAGGUAUGGAAUUAUGCGCUGAUAUGUCACCGCUUCCUGGAACAUAUCAUUCUUCAAAUUAUCCGGAACCGGCGCUCGGAAUUUAGUCGCCUGGUAGCUCGCAGCCGCUCGCAGCCGCUCGCAGCAGGUGAUCGUACGACGGGCAAGUUCUUAUCAGCCAGAUAUCGAACCUCUCUUGGCGGAUGUGUUGACCAUUUGUUGAUCAAUUGGUGUUUGUGGCGGAAUAUCGAUUCCUGAUGUAGCAAUUUAGACUCUGUACCAGUCUAGCCAGCCCAGUUGCACGCCAUGUCCAGUCUAAGCUUUCAGUUUAUGCCCUCGUCGGGCAGGAAUGAGCUUUUAUCGCCCAGCUUAUCCGGAAAAAUUAGUUCGGCCUACCCUGCUGGCUCUCACUACCUUGGUAAAGUUGCCCGAGGGAGCCUCCGUCACCUUCUCGUCGGCCAGACGGACAGAGAAUCAAAUUAGCCUCUCUCUCUUUUUGAGCCUCGCAAGGCACUGUGAAGGUCCGUUGCAAACUUUCACAUUUUCAGCAUGCCAAUCUCAACACCUUUCAGUAGCGGCGUCACGAUUUCAUUUAAAUUGCGCGAGUAUCGGAAGACCACCGAUUAAAGAAGGCAAGUUGUCCACCUCUCUCUUUGUCUCUUUUCUUGCCGUAUUCGACAAGACAAUCAGUAGGUGGUUUUUAAACCGUUUCGUUAAAGGCCGGAAUUGAUGCGAAAAUAUACAGCACCCACUUGGCGGGAAGUGAGGCUUCGUCACGUCACUGGCCGUUGUCAGUGGCCUUGCUUAUCGGUAGCGACGUUACGAUUUGAUCUAAAUCGCGCGAGUAUCGGUAUACCGAUAGACCACCGAUUUAAGAGGGCAGGUCGCCUAUCGCUCUCUUCGUCCUUUUUCGUGCCGUAAUUGGCAACUCAAUCUCAAAAGGGCUGGAAUUUAUACUAAAAGAUGCAGAGCCCACUUGACGCAUAGUGCGGCUUUGUCACUGGCCGUUACCAGGGGCCUUUUUAUCGACAAAUUAUGGCAAGCGUACAUUUGGGCCAUCCAAAUAACGUUCAUAAGAUUCUACAAUCGCAGAACACCGGCAACAUUCGCAGCAUCGGCUAUGGCCGACGCUUAAGCUUUAAAGUCACCCUUAGGGUUGAGCGGAAUGAAUUCCGCUGUACAAUUGAAAAUUACCAGAGUGAUCGCUCAGCGAUCACGAUAGUUUGCUUAAUGUUGCAGCCUGCCUUAUCCCAGUGUCCAGCCGGACAGUCAAGCCAAGAAGGGCCGGAGAGGAGCGUUUCGAUUUCGAGCACCUCGUGAAGCGUGAAGGCGUGAAGGCGCACCAAAACUCAGCCCAACUUUAUUCUUUACGUUCAAUUAUGUUACGAAAGGCCAUGUCGACCUAUUCUGUUUUUCUUGCAAUCGGCUUUUUCUGGCUAAUAGCCAGUUUUUUAUGCCUCGAUAUCUCUUGGUUCAUGUUACAUUCUUGUCAAAUGUUUUCUCAUGAAAUGUAAUUUUUUUGACACGCGCACCCCCGUUAUUCUCAAAAUAAGUCUGAGGAAAAGGGGGCGUGCCGCGGUCGAGGAAGGCUAGACGGCCUUCAUUUUUUCUUUGAAGUGCUAAAUAAAAUAAGUCUACACCCUUA